CAACUUGAUGCUGAGGAACUAAUUGCAUUUAUUCUUAAUGGAUUAGAUGAUGAUUAUCAUUCUGUGGUAUCUACCCUAGCGGCAAAGUCUGAACCUCUCACUUUGUCAGAAACCUAUGCACAAUUGUUGAACUUUGAGA
rfam:Oryza sativa Japonica Group DNA, chromosome 9, cultivar: Nipponbare, complete sequence.